rnacentral:rRNA from 1 species
CCUACGGGGAGCUGCAGUAGGGAAUCUUCCACAAUGGGCGAAAGCCUGAUGGAGCAACGCCGCGUGGGUGAAGAAGGUCUUCGGAUCGUAAAACCCUGUUGUUAGAGAAGAAAGUGCGUGAGAGUAACUGUUCACGUUUCGACGGUAUCUAACCAGAAAGCCACGGCUAACUACGUGCCAGCAGCCGCGGUAAUACGUAGGUGGCAAGCGUUAUCCGGAUUGAUUGGGCGUAAAGGGAACGCAGGCGGACUUUUAAGUCUGAUGUGAAAGCCUUCGGCUUAACCGGAGUAGUGCAUUGGAAACUGGGAGACUUGAGUGCAGAAGAGGAGAGUGGAACUCCAUGUGUAGCGGUGAAAUGCGUAGAUAUAUGGAAGAACACCAGUGGCGAAAGCGGCUCUCUGGUCUGUAACUGACGCUGAGGUUCGAAAGCGUGGGUAGCAAACAGGAUUAGAUACCCUGGUAGUC